rnacentral:rRNA from 1 species
GAUGAACGCUAGCGGCAGGCCUAACACAUGCAAGUCGAGGGGGAGGUUACUUUCGGGUAACUGAGACCGGCGUACGGGUGCGUAACGCGUAUACAAUCUGCCUUUCACUGGGGGAUAGCCCGAAGAAAUUUGGAUUAAAACCCCAUAGUAUAGUAAUACGGCAUCGUGAUGCUAUUAAAGCUUAGGUGGUGAAAGAUGAGUAUGCGUUCUAUUAGCUAGUUGGAGAGGUAACGGCUCCCCAAGGCGAUGAUAGAUAGGGGUUCUGAGAGGGAUGUCCCCCACACUGGUACUGAGAUACGGACCAGACUCCUACGGGAGGCAGCAGUGAGGAAUAUUGGACAAUGGUCGGAAGACUGAUCCAGCCAUGCCGCGUGCAGGAUGAAGGUCUUAUGGAUUGUAAACUGCUUUUGUAAGGGAAGAAUAAGGGCUACGCGUAGUUUGAUGACGGUACCUUACGAAUAAGCAUCGGCUAACUCCGUG